rnacentral:rRNA from 1 species
ACCGACACAGGUAGGCAGGGCGAGUAGCCCACGGCGAACGAGUGAUUCGUGGUUAAGGAACUCGGCAAAAAAGCGGCCGUAACUUAGGUAUAUGGCCUGCCCCGCUUAGCGGGGCCGCAGCGAAAGAUUCCCUGGCGACUGUUUAUCAAAAACACAGCUCCCUGCUAACUCGCAAGAGGAUGUAUAGGGGGUGAUGCCUGACCUAUGCGAGAAGGUUAACGGUGGAGGUGGUAUUUCUAGCAAUAGAAGUACUGCUGAUGCCCGAAGCCCUCGUAAAUGUCAGCGAUAACUAUAAUCGUUCUAAGGUAGCGUAAUUCCUUGUCUGGUAAGUUCAGACGUGCACGAAAGGCCUAACGACUGGGGAACUGUCUCAACCACGAGCUCGGUGAAAUUGCGAUUCCAGCGAAGACGCUGGGUACCUGCAGCAAGACGAAAAGACCCCGGGAGCUUUACUGUAGCUUAUUAUUGGCUAUAGAGUUUGGAUGCGUAGCAUAGAGGGUAGGCUUUGAGACCGUGUUUUCGGACGCGGUGGAGCCACCAGUGAAAUACCCUUCUUUCAAACUUUAUAAUCUAACCGGCGCGGCAAAAACGCGUUGGGACAGUGGUUGGCGGGCAGUUUUAGUGGGGCGCUAUCCUCCAAAAAAGUAACGGAGGAGUCCAUUAAGGUCGGCUAGCUUCGGAUGGAAAUUGAAGCGAUAGGGUAAAGCCAAAAGCCGGCUUAACUGCAAGGCGUACAUGCCGCGCAGAUGCGAAAGCAGGGCUUAGUGAACUGUUCGUGGUUAGUAGAAACGCGAACAAUCAUCGGACAAAAGCUACCCCGGGGAUAACAGGCUAGUCGCAUCCAAGAGUCCAUAUCGACGAUGCGGUUCGGCACCUCGAUGUCGGCUCAUCUUAUCCUGGGGCUGGAG